UCGAGGAUAGGAGUUUUUGGUUGUUGUUACCCUUGACGAAGUGGAGAGAGCUGUAAGAAAAAAGGCCACAAGUAAAAGGACAAGCUGUUUCACGAACCCGACUUGGUGUCCAUGUGGUUCUUGUGUCUCUCCGACUCGAAGGACCUGUGACAAGUAGUGGCCCGUACGGAACUCAUCACGUCGGUCUGCAAAGAUAAGUAAGGAAACUUUAGUAAACAGAGGGUGUAACCCCCCCAACCCCCAGCCUGUAACAGGCUGAUCCAGACCUUGACCUUGCUGCCACUAAGGAGAUUACCUAGGGUGGAGCCUUCCUGCCUAGAUGACUCUAUUGUUCAGCCACUGCUGCUCUUCUCCUUCAAGACACUGCUACCUGCUGAGAGGACCCUGAGCUAUUCUAGAGACUUCAUCCUAUCCUGCAGGUCAUCACCUGCAGCUGGUUCCAGGCUCCAAGAAUGGAUUAACGGGAAUGGGCCGCCCUUCUCCCCCCCACCCCCUUUAUAAGCACAGUUUUCUAUUAAACAUUCGAGCUUUGAUCAGGAGGAGUCAAAUCAAGAAUCUUUACUCACUGGCAAUCCAC
rnacentral:lncRNA from 1 species